rnacentral:rRNA from 1 species
GACGAACGCUGGCGGCGUGCUUAACACAUGCAAGUCGAACGAAGUGGCGAACGGGUGAGUAACGCGUAAUCAACCUGCCCUUCAGAGGGGGACAACAGUUGGAAACGACUGCUAAUACCGCAUACGGAAGGAGGGGAUUGCGUCGGAUUAGCUAGUUGGGGGGGUAACGGCCCACCAAGGCGAUGAUCAGUAGCCGGUCUGGGAGGGUGGACGGCCAUAUUGGGACUGGGGACCGGCCCAGACUCCUUCGGGGGGCAGCAGUGGGGAAUCUUCCGCAAUGGACGAAAGUCUGACGGAGGAACGCCGCGGGAGGGAUGACGGCCUUCGGGUUGUAAAGCUAUGUUAAUCGGGACGCGGUACCGGAAUAGAAAGCCACGGCUAACUACGUGCCAGCAGCCGCGGUAAUUC